rnacentral:rRNA from 1 species
CAGUAGCCGCGGUAAUACGUAGGUGGCAAGCGUCGUCCGGAAUUAUUGGGCGUAAAGGGCUCGCAGGCGGUUUCUUAAGUCUGAUGUGAAAGCCCCCGGCUCAACCGGGGAGGGUCAUUGGAAACUGGGAAACUUGAGUGCAGAAGAGGAGAGUGGAAUUCCACGUGUAGCGGUGAAAUGCGUAGAGAUGUGGAGGAACACCAGUGGCGAAGGCGACUCUCUGGUCUGUAACUGACGCUGAGGAGCGAAAGCGUGGGGAGCGAACAGGAUUAGAUACCCCCGUAGUCCUGUCUCUUAUACA